rnacentral:rRNA from 1 species
UACGGGGGGAGCGAACGUUGUUCGGAAUCACUGGGCGUAAAGGGCGUGUAGGCGGUUCGGUAAGUGGAAUGUGAAAUCCCCCGGCUUACCCGGGGAACUGCAUCCCAUACUGCUGGACUUGAGUGCGGGAGAGGAUGGAGGAAUUCCUGGUGUAGCGGUGAAAUGCGUAGAUAUCAGGAAGAACACCCGUGGCGAAAGCGGCUCUCUGGGACGGUACUGACGCUGAGACGCGAAAGCGUGGGGAGCGAACAGG